GCUUUGAUGGUUUAGUGGUAAAAUCCAAGCUUCCCAAUCAGAGAUACAGAUCUCUGAUAGCCUGCUUGGGCCCCGUGUUCGAUUCACGGUCAUAGCA
rnacentral:tRNA from 1 species